ensembl:lncRNA
AUGAUGACAUGCUUCCCUUGUUGUGCCAUGCCUAAACACGAGGGAAAUCUGGGGAGGCGACAGCAAAGUGCCAGAAGGAAUCAGAAGGACGGAGGAGGAAAGGAAUGCUUCGGGAGAGAAUAUUCAGCAACAGCCUGGGCUGAAGACGCAGGAGGACUCUCCAGCACGCAGAGAGAACGGCAUCAAGGAAGAGCUCCCGGGGGCAGAACACAACACGUUGCCUCCAAAACGAGAAAGGAAAGGCUAAGCCUGCCAUCAGACGGCCACACCGCUGGAUCCCGGGCACCGGCGGGGCAGCUCCGCAGUGUGGAGGCAGGAUGCCUUGAGCCUUUAAUUCUCUGCCUAGCCUGACAGCCUUUCCGUCGGGAGGAAAAAACGCUUUUCUGGGUCGUGCCAAGUGUUAGGAGAGUUUAUUCCCAACAAAUACCAUCCAAAGUAAUUACCAGCUUCCAUAUACUCCAGCAAAACGACAAACGCGUCCAAGAGGGAAACAUGGGCUGCGGGAGCCAGUGAAACUAUUUUUAUCGGGGACGCAGGCUGGAAAAUGCUCUCCACCGUCUGGAGGGAAAUCCAGACGGCCUCACCGGGCCGUGGGGCGGCGGCAGGGGGUGGGGGGAUACCUGCUGGGUGUCUCCUUCGUGGGGACAGUUUCCAGUCACCUCUAGACGGGUAGGGACGGCUAAGGUCAAAGUGCAUGUGAAACAUUUUAAGGUAAAUGACUGCAGGUAUGAAGUCACACCUCCAAAGCAUUAGAAGACAAAAGUGAAAGACAUCCCCCCCCCCCACCUGUCAGAGGCAGGAGAUGGGGGCGGAGGGCGUCUAACGACAGGAAACGCAAUGAAAACCCUAAGCCAGGUCUCAGGAGCGGGUUUCAGUGUGUCAGUCGGUAAAUCACGGUCAAUGCCGCGCAGUCUUGCCUGAAAAGACAGAGACCCUGGAGAGGCUACGAUUCAGCAUCUCGAGGGUGCUGUGUCUGGGAAGCCGACCCCAGCCGUGGCUGGUCUGGCCAGGGGUCCUUAAUCUGGGCUCACGGGCAGGGUCGGGGGCCGUGACAGUGGAUGGAGCCGCAUUUUCACACCUGCUCUUCUCGGAUCUCACCUCCAGUUUGGCAUGUCCUUUGAUUAGGAACCCCUGACUCUACUGAAAUGACAGGUUUUUUCAAAUUACAUUGCAAUGAUUGCACGUAUCUUGAAAUAGUGUUUCUGUUUAGCAGUACUUCCAAAUGUUGGUAAGUAUUUGUUUAUUUAUUUAUUGGGGGGGUGUUUGUUUUGUUUUUUUCUGGGCCGUAUCCAUGGCACAUGGAGGGUCCCAGGCGAGCGGUCUUAUCCCAGCUCCAGCUGCCGGCCUACACCAUGGCGACAGCCAUGCCAGAUCCGAGCCACAUCUGCAACCUGCACCGCAGCAGCUUGCAGCAACGUCGGAUCCUUUAACCCACUGAUGGAGCCAGGGAUCAAACCCACAUCCUCAUGGAUACUAGUGGGAUUCUUUUUUUUUUUUUUUUUUGUCUUUUUGCUAUUUCUUGGGCCGCUCCCGAGGCAUAUGGAGGUUCCCAGGCUAGGGGUUGAAUCAGAGCUGUAGCCACCGGCCUACGCCAGAGCCACAGCAACGCAGGAUCCGAGCCACAUCUGCAACCUACACCACAGCUCACAGCAACGCCGGAUCGUUAACCCACUGAGCAAGGGCAGGGACCGAACCCGCAACCUCAUGGUUCCUAAUCGGAUUCGUUAACCACUGCGCCACGACGGGAACUCCCUAGUGGGAUUCUUCACCUGCUGAGCCACAAUGGGAACUCCCUUGGUAGAUAUUUCAUGUGUUAAUGAGGAAGCACAAAUAUCACAAUUUUUCUCAUUUAGUGAUAUAUCUGUACAAAGCACACAAAUCGUAUACUUUGUUGUCUUGUUAUAUAACUGGUUUCCGUUAUAAUCCUGUGUAUUUUAUGUGCUGAAAAACCUUAUUCAAGAGCUUCCGUGCCUGCCCACUUGCCCCUCUCACAAGCGUCCUAUCUUAAUAAAUCUAUUUCUUGCCUAAAAGAAAAAUCGUAU